UUUGUCCUACGGGGCGCAGCAGUAGGGAAUUUUCGUCAAUGGGCGCAAGCCUGAACGAGCAAUGCCGCGUGAACGAGGAAGGUCUUCGGAUCGUAAAGUUCUGUUGAAGGGGAAAAAGAGCGGAGAGAGGAAAUGAACUCCGAUUGAUAUUACCCUUCGAGGAAGUCACGGCUAACUACGUGCCAGCAGCCACGGUAAUACGUAGGUGGCGAGCGUUAUCCGGAAUGAUUGGGCGUAAAGGGUGCGUAGGCGGUCCUGCAAGUCUGGAGUGAAACGCAUGAGCUCAACUCAUGCAUGGCUUUGGA
rnacentral:rRNA from 1 species